CUAACGCAUUUCAACCUUCAGCAGGUCUUUUUCAAAGUGCAUAAGGUUCAUCUCUUUGUUUCCACGUUUAUUCCGUCAUUUGCACGGCUUUCCGUUUAAUUUUAGCACGCUUUUUCGGACUUCCCAGUUCAUUUUGCAUCUACGUGCCAUUUCUGCCUCUUUUGUCAUGACGCUCGGUGUCCCGACCUGAUAUCACGCGUUCUUCUGUAGCGUUUCCGGACGCCAUCUUAAUUAAGGUAAGAUCAUAAAGUCUGCCCUUAAUUCUGACAUAGUCCAUAAACAAGUCCAUUUACACAUAUUAAAAAUAUCUAAAAUGAUCUAAACAAGAU